rnacentral:rRNA from 1 species
CGUGCAGGCGGUCGUGUAAGUCGUGCGUGAAAGCCUCCGGCUCAACCGGGGGAGGCCGUGCGAAACUGCGGGACUAGAGGUAGGUAGAGGCGUGUGGAAUUCCGGGUGUAGUGGUGAAAUGCGUAGAGAUCCGGAGGAACACCAGUGGCGAAGGCGACACGCUGGGCCUGACCUGACGCUAAGACGCGAAAGCAUGGGGAGCGAACG